ACAAAGCCUGGCUCUGAAGCUCGUUCCCUGCUCGGCUUGGAGACUUGGUGGUGGCACUUCCUGUGGCAUCUAAAUGACAUGGGUCUCAGGCCUGACCCUCAGUGCUGAGCCUGCUGACAUGGUGGCCACGAAGACCCACAGCAUGUGGUUUGGAACCACUGUCGCUCUGAGGAUGUGCUGUGCCUGCCUUAAUACUUCUACCCUGUCCACCAUCUGCCCAGGCUGCGGCCUGAAGAGCCACUCCUGUCUCCUUCCUCUACAGACGGUUCUGCACUUCGCCAUGUCUGUCGCACACCUUACAGAAUUUUUAAGAAGAUACUUCUAAAUCUAUUUUCUGUUUCUAUUUUUAUCUAUGCGUGCAAGUGCGUGUCUGUGUGAGCGAAUGUGCUGGUGCCCUCGGGGGACCAGAAGAGGGUGUUCGGGCCUCUGGGACUGGAGUUACUAACAGUUUUGAACCUGGGUCCUGGGAACUGAGCUUGGGUCAUCUGGAAGGGCAACAAAUGCUCCUAGAUAACGAACCAUCUCUCCAGCCCUUGAAUAGGACUUAAAAAAAAAAAAAAAGUCUGUUGCUUUCUUGAGGCUGAAAGAAAAAUGUAGCUGGAUGCCCGUCAUACAAGCAAGCGUGCCAAGGAGGUGGCAAGCAAGAGGGCUUCAGGAUGUCCCGCUGGGGAGCUUGACAGCUGCGCUCACCAGUCCAGUUCCCUCACUCCCCGGAGCGGGCACCAGGCCCUCCCCUCACGGGCAGGCCUGCUCCAAGGGAAGUAUUUCUGCUACUCCUUUAACAUUCUGGGUCCUGCAGGUAGAAGGAGGCUGCACUUGCCUAGGUCCGAAUGAUUUCAACACCCACUGGGUGCAGACUUUGAACCUGUGCCCUUCUAGGCCUCUAGUGAGUGGAGAAAGUCCGCCAGGCAGGUGGGUUCAGAUUUCUGCUGUUACUUCCCUCUCUAUGCUCAGUGCCCUAUGGAGUUGUUAGUGGUUUCAGUUUGAGGAGGUCAGUAUGAGGAUUAUAGGGGACUCAGGCCCUGGUCCAGGCCUGACCACAGCAAGCCUCACUAGAAGCAUCUGUGUCACCAUAGUUGUAUGCUGGAGGCCGCUUCCAUGCCCAUCAGUAGAGAACAGGAUCCAGGCGACACACUCGCAGAAUUCCAGGAGGGUGAUACACAUGUGCCCAGCCUCUGCCAGGGCGUCCCAGUCACACUGGCUCCAAGCACAUGCUCAGGCCUUUCUCAGCAGAUUGCCGGUGGAAGUGGCCCUCCACAGAGACCCAGAAAUAGAGCUGAUAAAAUAUGUUGCACUUUUUUUUUUUUUUGCUUGUCUGUGCUUUUUUUCUGUUUUCCAAAUAUUCUGCAGAGUACACAUAGCCCUGUUUUUAGUGAAAAUAAAAACCAGCGACUGCUCAUUCCAAAAAAGAGGCUGUGCCAAACUGAGGUGGCUCCAGCAAGGUCCCCACAUCCUGCUGUCGGCCUCCGGAGUUGCCCUGGAUUCCCCUGAUAGCAGGGCCUUCUCAGAUGGGCUUCUGCUGGCCACAGACACCCCCUCCCAUUCCUGCCACACAAGAAAGGCUGGCACGUGGCUUUCCAAACCAUGAGCUGAAGAAGCAGCAGCAACCAGUGUGGCAUCCCACCGGGUGGUCAGGGCUGUGCUUUCCUGGCUACGGUGUGCCUUGCCCAGGGAGUCCAGUCCCUCACAGUGUCUGCAGCUAAGGAGGGGCUCAGAACCAUGCAGCCAAGUCCUGUAGACCCUCUGGGAUGAUCCCAGAGGUCAUAGGGUACUGGAAAAGUCCUUCAGCUAGAGGCGUACCCCAGCUCCAGCUCCUGAGGUGUUUCAUACAUCUGAGGGCUCGUCACCCCAGGUGCCCACACUGAGUAAGUGGCACAGUUGGUGCACUGAAAGUGACCAACUGGGGACACGCCUGUUGAGCUACGUAUCCUAUGCCUGGACUCUGCAUUGUCAUUAUUGCUGUGAUGAAACACCAUGACCAAAGCAACUUGGGGAAGGAAAUGCUGUAUUUGGCUCACAUAUCCUGAGUCACAGUCCAUUGAGUAAAGCCAAGGCAGGAACUCAAACAGGGCAAGAACCUGGAGGCAGGAGCUGAUGUAAUGGCCAUGGAGGGGUGCUGCUUACUGCCCUUGUCCCCACAGCUUGCUUGCUCAGCCUGAUUUCCUUUAGAAUUCAGGACUACCAGCCCAGGGAUGGCCCCACCCACAAUGGGCUGGGCCCUCCCCCAUCAAUCACUAAUUAAUUAAAUGAUAGCCAGAUCUUAUGGAAGCAUUUUCUUGAUUGAGUUUCCUUCCUCUCCGAUGACUUCAGCUUGUGUCAAGCUCGGCUGACAUAAACUAGCCAGUGGAGCCUCCUGGAGGAAAACUGAACCCAGAGUGGUAAAGUUGUCCAGGCCUUGCACCAAGUUGGCGUUCCUUAUCUCCUGGCUGAUCGUGGUGGCUCAGUGACUCAGCAGUGGUACCACGGAUGGGUGGCAUGGCUGUCCCCACCCCGGCACUCUGUCCCUUCCAGGCUCAUGCAAGCCGAGUUUCACUAGAAGCUGCGGUCGCUCUCCACCAUGCUUGAGCUGCAAGGCUCUUCCCUCUUGUUUGCUGGCCCAAGCCUUCUUCUCAUGCUACAGGGAGAAGGGUGUGGAGGGAAUGGACUCCACCAUCACUGCCUGCAGCCCUGUCUUGGCCCAUCCUGAUUGAGCAAGUGAAAACCCAGUACACCCAGUACAAUGUGAAUUCCAAUAAAUACGCAGUAUCUGGGCUGUACUGACACUCACCCCUGAUUCAUCACCUAGAGGAAAUUAAGUUUUACUGAACACCGUGCUUCAUACACUCCACUCUGAAAACACAGCGCUCCGGAACCUUCCUUACUGGGAAGUCCGGUGUGUCUUGAGAAUUCACGGACAAGACACCCGGGGGCCAGGUACUCUAAAACUCAAGGACAAGGUUCAGAUAAACAAAGGAGCCUCCAGGAAAGAGGGCAGGCACACAGGUCACCUUGGGCUACUUCUGGAACCUGGCCCUGGACUCCCAACGAGGCCAGCAUUGAGGAGGUAAUCUGAGGCUGAGCACCCAGCAUGGUGAGAGUGUGCCCAGAGGGUAAGAAACGGUAAGCAGAGAAGAGGACAGAGACUUGGGCGAGCAGAAGAGAUGUGAGGAGUGGAGCUAUAGAGAGGAGGAAACAAGGAGACCUAGGCUUCUGGGACCACAGAUGUGCCUGGGGCCAGGACCUUGCAGAGACCAUGUGCACAGUGGAAGCCACUGAGCAGAGAGUAGCUGAUCCCAGGAGAGAAGCUGAUCUUUGGACCUCCUGCUUGCAUCGCUGGAGCAGGACGAGCAUAAAGCCCACGUGGACAGAGGAGCCAAAGCUUGCUGUUCAGGGGACACAGUGUGCAAGGCCCUGGGAUUCUGACGUUUGAGCUGUGUGCUAAUAACCGAUCCUGUUUUGCUUUCAGAGUCUAAUGAUAUUUGUCGAUAAUUAUUAUCAGACACUAGCUGUCAUUGAUCUGAGUGCUUUCUCACGUGCCCCCGGGUCUCACACCGAAUGCCACUGAAGCUGCACGGCACUGUUCUGGAAUAAAGAGCCAAUCCUAUACAUUACUGGGUCACAAGUGAUAGGGGAAAAGAAACAGACCAGCUUCAGCCAGAAAGACAUCUACAGAACCAGAGGGACCCCAUUUCCCCCCAUCUCUGACUGAAUAGGAAGUGACAUUAGCACCCCGCCAGAAGCAUCUGUUUCCACAGCUUUAAGUGGGAUUCCAAUUGGCCAGAUCACCUGUCCGUCGGCCAGCUGGAGGUGGGAUAUCCUGCGUGACAGUCCCACUCUUAUUUCAAGCAGUGGGCAGUAAAGGUCAAAGGGCGGCUGGGGGGUUGGAAGGAGGAGGCACGGACUGGGGAGGCAACACAACACACAUGCGACGUGUGGGUACUGCCCUAACCCACUUCACACGUGUGGAAACUGAGGCAGCAUCACACUUGGCUGAAACUAUGGCUACCAACAGCUUUUCGCCCUCGCUGGAGGGAGCUGCCUCUAAGGCACAGCGGGUUGGUGUGUUCAGUUCUGCUUAAUUAAGCAGAAUCGCACGGACCUCCGCCCACAGCUGGCCCACCAGCCAGAACCCACGAGGUAGCGUCACUGUUUCCUCCUCUCCGGCCAAGGUGUGAAUCAGCAACUGUGGCUUUGGGCCACCCUUGGCUUCCAGUCAGUUCCACAGAUGUGGUUUAAUGUGUACCCUGGGCCAGCUAUGGCUCAGGGCCAGAGAGAGAGAGCAGCCAUGAGCGGACACAGAACAGUCCUGGAAGAGGUCACCUCUGCCGAAGUGCAUCCGUGAGGCAGAGGGGACAGGGCUGGGAUCAGAGCCCCAGGCAUCCGGUUCUCUGUGAGGGAGGCCAAAUGGGACUGGGCGCUUGGAGACUGACGAGCCUAUGCCAUCUGGAUGAGGGUCUUCAGCAUGGGCUAGAUCUCAGUCUUCACAGCUCAGACAGUCUUCCAUUCUGUCACGGCGGGGUGACUGUAUAUCCGAUUAAAUUCACUGUACUUCCGCUAUACGUUUAAUAAUCCCCUGCUCUUCAUUGUUGCUUGAAAUCACGGUAUCACCUAUUGGUAGAUUUUUUUUUUUAAAAAAAAUCAGUAAACACAUGUCUAUUCACAA